rnacentral:miRNA from 1 species
AUUCACCCAUAUGUGAAUGUCAUUCACCCACAUGUGAAUGUCAUUCACCCAUAUGUGAAUGAUAUUCACCCACAUGUGAAUGUCAUUCACCCAUAUGUGAAU